AGAUGUGUGCUAUCUUUCAGGUACAGAGGAGCUAUCACCCCACUGGUCGCCAGGGUUGAUCAGCUGAUCUGGCUGGCUAAGCAGGUGUUCCCUUCCUCCCUCCCCACUCCAUGGAAGCUGGGAGCUUGGCCAGAGAACGGAUGAUCUUCCCCAAAUAGAAUAGCUGUGCUCUCCUGCUAGAACCUCCAAACAAGUUCUCAAAUAUCAAAAGUGAGCAGCGCUGGGGUUGAAGCCAGGGCCAUAUGCUGGCUAGGCAAACCCUGAGCUCGUCCCCUACACUGGCUAUUCUG
rnacentral:snRNA from 1 species